CGACACAGGUGGUCAGGUAGAGAAUACCAAGGCGCUUGAGAGAACUCGGGUGAAGGAACUAGGCAAAAUGGUGCCGUAACUUCGGGAGAAGGCACGCUGAUAUGUAGGUGAAGUCCCUCGCGGAUGGAGCUGAAAUCAGUCGAAGAUACCAGCUGGCUGCAACUGUUUAUUAAAAACACAGCACUGUGCAAACACGAAAGUGGACGUAUACGGUGUGACGCCU
rnacentral:rRNA from 1 species